GCUUGUCUCAAAGAUUAAGCCAUGCAUGUCUAAGUAUAAGCAAUUAUACCGCGAAACUGCGAAUGGCUCAUUAUAUAAGUUAUCGUUUAUUUGAUAGCACAUUACUACUUGGAUAACCGUGGUAAUUCUAGAGCUAAUACAUGCUAAAAAUCCCGACUUCGGAAGGGAUGUAUUUAUUAGAUUAAAAGCCAACGCCCUUCGGGGCUCUGUGGUGAUUCAUAAUAACUGGUCGAAUCGCAUGGCCUUGCGCCGGCGAUGGUUCAUUCAAAUUUCUUCCCUAUCAACUUUCGAUGCGAGGGUCUUGUCCUCGCAUGGUUGCAACGGGUAACGGAGGGUUAGGGCUCGACCCCGGAGAAGGAGCCUGAGAAACGGCUACUACAUCCAAGGAAGGCAGCAGG
rnacentral:rRNA from 1 species